GUUGGAGCGUCAACGACAGCACCGUCUUCCUCCAGGCCGACAAGAAGCUGGAACGUCUCUGUGAAUGGAAGGAGUUGAUCCAGAGAGAUGAGAAGUGCCACGGAGCUUUACUGGACAUUAUAUAUAUCUGUAUAUAAAUAUCUGCACUUCAGUCUGAGCUGUCCGUCCCUCAGUGGACGACUUCCACCAGACCCGACCGACAUGAAGGACACCUGCAGGUCAACGAAUAUUCAGACGGCUGAGCAACAAACACACCAGAAGAUGGAGCCUGUACGCCCUGAAAUCUGAAUCACAAAGACAGAGUGUGAAGAGCAGACUCACAAGUAGAACAGAGGACCCUUCGUCUGGACGACCCCUGAAGGCUUGAUGUCGUGCCCCCCGUCCCCUGUUAAUUUGUACA